UAGAGCCAAGAGGCUCUUGGGACCAUAUGGCUGGGACUGAAGGCAGUGUAGACACAGCUGACCCUUCAUGAGGGCUCUGCCUGGCUCUAGUAGCUUCUAUCCUGAAAGCCUGGUGAGUGUCUGAAGGAUGGUCCCCUUGUUAAGUGAGGGCAGGCUUGUGGAUUUCAGGGGCCCCAGAGGCCUGGGAGGACAUUUAGUGGGGGCGGGGUCCUCACCAAAGACUCAAUGGGCUCUGGAGUUCCUGUGUCUCCUGAGACCUGCGCCUGACGUCACCCUCUGGAUGGCCUCUGGCCUCUACCUGGGCUGGGGUGUCCCAGGAACAGAGAAGGACCCAACUAUUGUUGGGGACCCCAGCACUCUCUGUCCAACCGAGCCUGGGGCCUGGGUGGCAAAUGUGGGCAUUGCGAGAGUGGCAGGACUGGGAGGAGGCCCAAGCCCUGGGUAGGGCCUGGGGGGUGCCAGGUCCACACCUCCGAGGUGGUGAGUGGUGCAGACAGCUGGUGCCUGUGGGUCCCUAACAAAUGCAGCUGAGAAGUGGGCCCUCAGAUGUCCACGUGGCAUAACCCUGCUGUGACUGAAGCCGCCAGCCUGGAUUGAACAUUCUUCAAGAUUUCUGCCUUCAUUUAACAAGUAUGUGUGUCACUCGUGUUGUGAGCCAGGCACUCCAUGCAGCCAGAUCAAGGCAGGGAAGUCCCUGCCCAGGAGUACUCAUGUCCCAGUAGAGACAGAGGCCACAGGGCUUGCCCUGUGAAGCCAGCAGGCCCUGGGGGCUGGCUGUGAUGAGGACCUCCGAGUCCUUUGGGGAAUCUGCUGCCCAAGUCAGACCCAGAUGGAAGCCUGGAGCUGCCCCGCAGGAGCAGGGAGGGAGUGCUCUGUCCUGAGGUAUACAGCUUUUACUAGCUCCGAUGGGGUGCCUCUUGGGGUCCCCCAGCCUGGGAAAGAGGCGCCAUCAGCUCUAGGAGGCUGAGAGCCUGGAGUCUUGGCCUCUGAAGGCUGCGUUUCCUGGAUGGCAAAGUCCAGCAGGACCCUGGCACCAGGGGUCCUUGGGCAGGCAGUUGGUCCUAGGCAAAGAAAAAAGGGCAGAGCUGCCCUAGCUGAGAGGGUGGAAGGCCAUGUGCCCCCCCCAACCACGAUGGGCGCUAGGAGUCAGAUACAAUUACUCUCUCAGUGUAUCAUAAUUACUGCAAAUAGCCCAUUAAAGAGAAAUUAUCAUCAAUAUGAUAUUAGCAGACAGCGGGGGAAAUGAAGAAAGAAAAGUGCUUAUUCUCUCAUUGUCCCCUUAAUGGGGACAAGGGGUGGAGAGGCAGUGGCCCCUGUUCACUGACCUCACCUCCCUGCCCACUGCAUGGAGCCACGAAGGACCCGGCAGGCUGGGAGCCAAGGCAUGACCCUGGAAACAGCAGUGCAGGAAGAGCGGGUGCCAUGGGUGGAGUCGGACCUGCCUCUGCCCACUGUCGGGGGCUCCGCUGUCGCCUCCCAAACCUGGCUUUAGUCCAGCUUGGGUGGCUCGGGCCUCCCUUGAGGUAGCCUCUGCUGCGCCCCCACCCCCACCGUGAACCCUCCAAGGGAAGGCCCUGGAGUAGGAGGGGUCUUGGUUCAGCCUGUCCUGAGCUUGUGGCCCUUUAAAUCCUGGGAACCAGGCUCCACUAGACGUGGCCUCUGGAGCACAGGUCUCUCCCAAACAUCACCAAAAUGACCGAAGAGGAAGAGGGAGGUGCCGUUUGCAGGAAAGAGAGAACGGGAGUGGAGCAGCAGCCACCAGUGAGGGAAGAGGUGGCAAAGUGCUCCAUGGCUGGGGUGCCUAUCUUGGCAGAGUGGAGCAGAUGAAAGGCCCAUCUGCCGACAAGACCACUGCCACCCUCUGCCACCCUCCACCACCCUCCGCCAGGUCACCAGAAUGCCAGGCCUCACUCAUGAUCAGCUGAGCACCAGCAGGCAGGUGAGAAGAGCCUCCAGUGUGGAGCAGGUCAACCAGCAACAGAGCCAGGGAGACCCAUGGAGUCCAGAGAAAACGGUAACAACGGCAGCAGCACCCAGAGACUGGCUCCCAGUGAGUUAAGCCCAGCCGCGACCCUUGGAUGUGCCAGCUGAUUUAAUACUCAUGAUAAACCCAGUAGACAGAUGUGCAUAUAUCACUUCAAAAAAACAAAAGUGGAUGUGGCUGAUGCCAAAGUGACCUGCCCCAGAAGAGCUGCUAACAGAACAGCAUCCCAGGAGGCUGCAGAAGGCUGAAGAGCAGAGCCCACACCUGCUAUGGGCCACAAGAGGCCCUGGAUGCCAUGGAGGCCGCAAGGGCCCAGGCGGGACUUGCAGAAUGAGAGUCCUAGGCCCAAGUAUAGAGUCCCUGGUGGGCACAGAGGAGAGACCAGGUCAGUGGGAGGGGUUGUCAGACCCUGUGGAGUGCCCCACCUGUGUGCCAGGCCCAGAACUGGGCUCAACUCUGAUGGUAGCAGGUGGAAAGUAGACUUCACUACUGUGGGAGUGGGGGCAUUCCUGGACACAGGGGGAAACCAGCUCACAGAACAGCCUGGGGUCUUCUUGGAGGAGGCCAUUUUGGCCCAGAUCCUAAAGGAAGACUGGAAGCCUCAGGGGGCAGUGAGAACAGGGACAAGAGAGGGCAGGUCUCAGGACUGACUGAGCAACUCAGACUGACCUGGAUC
rnacentral:lncRNA from 1 species